CUGCCCUGUACCGGGGGACAACAGCCAGAAAUGGCUGCUAAUACCGCAUAAGCCUGCGGUGCCGCAUGGCACAGCAGGGAAAACCACGGUGGUACAGGAUGGGCCCGCGUCUGAUUAGUUAGUUGGCAGGGUAACGGCCUACCAAGACGAUGAUCAGUAGCCGGCUUGAGAGAGUGGACGGCCACAUUGGGACUGAGACACGGCCCAGACUCCUGCGGGAGGCAGCAGUGGGGAAUAUUGCACAAUGGGGGAAACCCUGAUGCAGCAAUGCCGCGUGGGUGAAGAAGCACUCCGGUGCGUAAAGCCCUGUCAGCAGGGAAGAAAAUGACAGUACCUGACCAAGAAGCCCCGGCUAACUACGUGCCAGCAGCCGCGGUAAUACGUAGGGGGCAAGCGUUAUCCGGAUUUACUGGGUGUAAAGGGAGCGCAGGCGGUAUGGCAAGUCAGAUGUGAAAACCCAGGGCUCAACCCUGGGACUGCAUUUGAAACUGCCAUACUGGAGUGCCGGAGAGGUAAGUGGAAUUCCUAGUGUAGCGGUGAAAUGCGUAGAUAUUAGGAGGAACACCAGUGGCGAAGGCGGCUUACUGGACGGUAACUGACGCUGAGGCUCGAAAGCGUGGGGAGCAAACAGGAUUAGAUACCCUGGUAGCCCACGCUGUAAAC
rnacentral:rRNA from 1 species